GGAUUAGUACGCUGGUCGUGCCUUCGGUACGUACUGGUGUUACUGAUUUCUACCUUCUGACGAACCAUCAUUUCAUUAAUUUGGUGUGGUGGGGAAUCAGGACUGUUACUUUGAAAAAAUUAGAGUGUUUAAAGCAGGCUCGCGCUUGAAUACAUUAGCAUGGAAUAAUGAAAUAGGACGUUGAUCCUAUUUUGUUGGUUUCUAGGAUUGACGUAAUGAUUAAUAGGGAUAGUUGGGGGCAUUAGUAUUCAAUUGUCAGAGGUGAAAUUCUUGGAUUUAUUGAAGACUAACUACUGCGAAAGCAUUUGCCAAGGAUGUUUUCAUUAAUCAAAAACGAAAGUUAGGGGAUCGAAGACGAUCAGAUACCGUCGUAGUCUUAACCAUAAACUAUGCCGACUAGGGAUCGGAUGAUGUUAUUUUUAAUGACUCAUUCGGCGCCUUACGGGAAACCAAAGUGUUUGGGUUCCGGGGGGAGUAUGGUCGCAAGGCUGAAACUUAAAGGAAUUGACGGAAGGGCACCACCAGGGGUGGAGCCUGCGGCUUAAUUUGACUCAACACGGGGAAACUCACCAGGUCCAGACAUAGUUAGGAUUGACAGAUUGAGAGC
rnacentral:rRNA from 1 species